rnacentral:rRNA from 1 species
UACGGAGGAGGCAAGCGUUAUCCGGAAUUAUUGGGCGUAAAGCGUCCGUAGGUGGAUGGAGAAGUCUGUUGUUAAAGAGUGGAGCUUAACUCCAUAGCGGCGAUGGAAACUCUUCGUCUAGAGUGCGAUAGGGGCAAGGGGAAUUCCCAGUGUAGCGGUGAAAUGCGUAGAUAUUGGGAAGAACACCGGUGGCGAAAGCGCCUUGCUGGGUCUGCACUGACACUGAGGGACGAAAGCUAGGGGAGCGAAA